GACGAACGCUGGCGGCGUGCUUAACACAUGCAAGUCGAGCGGUAAGGCCCUUUCGGGGUACACGAGCGGCGAACGGGUGAGUAACACGUGGGUGACCUGCCCUCAGCUCUGGGAUAAGCCUGGGAAACCGGGUCUAAUACUGGAUAUGACUCCAUGACGCAUGUUGUGGGGUGGAAAGCCUUGUGCGGCUGAGGAUGGGCCCG
rnacentral:rRNA from 1 species